rnacentral:tRNA from 1 species
AAAAUCCGUCAACUUUAGAAAUCGUGAGG